UGUGCUUCCCUCAGAGCCCUGAGUACAGACAGGAGGAAGGAAGCAAAUGAAGAGAUGCCAGGGGGCAGGAGAGCACCUCAAAGGCAUCACUGUUCAGGGUCAGGGUUGGAAGCCAGUCCAAAGCUGGGAGAAGACCGGAGCCCUUCUGCCUACCCAGGGUCACGUCAGACCCUCUUCUCGGUGCACGUGCCCGCCUCACUCCUAAUAGAGGAUAUAAGGCUUCUUGGUAUUUUGUCUGACUCUCAGAAUAAAAUAGAUGUCUGUGAAA
rnacentral:lncRNA from 1 species